rnacentral:rRNA from 1 species
GACGAACGCUGGCGGCGUGCCUAAUACAUGCAAGUAGAACGCUGAAGGAGGAGCUUGCUUCUCUGGAUGAGUUGCGAACGGGUGAGUAACGCGUAGGUAACCUGCCUGGUAGCGGGGGAUAACUAUUGGAAACGAUAGCUAAUACCGCAUAAGAGUAGAUGUCGCAUGACAUUUGCUUAAAAGGUGCAAUUGUAUCACUACCAGAUGGACCUGCGUUGUAUUAGCUAGUUGGUGAGGUAACGGCUCACCAAGGCAACGAUACAUAGCCGACCUGAUAGGGGGAUCGGCCACACUGGGACCGGGACACGGCCCAGACCCCUUCGGGAGGCAGCAGUAGGGAAUCUUCGGCAAUUGACGGAAGUCUGACCGAGCAACGCCGCGUGAGUGAAGAAGGUUUUCGGAUCGUAAAGCUCUGUUGUAUGGGAAGAACGAGUGUGAGAGUGGAAAGUUCACGCUGUGACGGUAUCUUACCAGAAAGGGACGGCUAACUACGUG